GAAAUGGGUUUCCGCCUAAAGAGAAGCUUGCGGCUGAUUAGCUUGUUGGUGAGGUAAUGGCUCACCAAGGCGACGAUCAGUAUCUGGUCUGAGAGGAUGAUCAGACACACUGGAACUGAGACACGGUCCAGACUCCUACGGGAGGCAGCAGUGGGGAAUUUUCCGCAAUGGGCGAAAGCCUGACGGAGCAAUACCGCGUGAGGGAUGACGGCCUAUGGGUUGUAAACCUCUUUUUUCAGGGAGGAAUCAAUGACGUGUACCUGAAGAAUAAGCAUCGGCUAACUCCGUGCCAGCAGCCGCGGUAAGACGGAGGAUGCAAGUGUUAUCCGGAAUCACUGGGCGUAAAGCGUCUGUAGGUGGUCAAAUAAGUCAACUGUUAAAUCUUGAGGCUUAACCUCAAAAUCGCAGUCGAAACUAUUAGACUAGAGUAUAGUAGGGGUAAAGGGAAUUUCCAGUGGAGCGGUGAAAUGCGUAGAGAUUGGAAGGAACACCGAUGGCGAAGGCACUUUACUGGGCUAUUACUAACACUCAGAGACGAAAGCUAGGGUAGCAAAUGGGAUUAGAUACCCCAGUAGUCCUAGCUGUAAACAAUGGAUACUAGAUGUUGAACAGAUCGACCUGUGCAGU
rnacentral:rRNA from 1 species